CAGUAGCCGCGGUAAUACGAAGGGGGCUAGCGUUGCUCGGAAUGACUGGGCGUAAAGGGCUCGCAGGCGGUUUCUUAAGUCUGAUGUGAAAGCCCCCGGCUCAACCGGGGAGGGUCAUUGGAAACUGGGAAACUUGAGUGCAGAAGAGGAGAGUGGAAUUCCACGUGUAGCGGUGAAAUGCGUAGAGAUGUGGAGGAACACCAGUGGCGAAGGCGACUCUCUGGUCUGUAACUGACGCUGAGGAGCGAAAGCGUGGGGAGCGAACAGGAUUAGAUACCCCCGUAGUCCCUGUCUCUUAUAC
rnacentral:rRNA from 1 species